rnacentral:tRNA from 1 species
GGAGAGGUCGCCUAGUGGCUAGGGCAGCAGUUUGCUAAACUGCCAUACGGGUGAAAACUCGUAUCCAGGGUUCGAAUCCCUGCCUCUCCGCCA